CCUACGGGGGGCUGCAGUGGGGAAUAUUGGACAAUGGGGGGAACCCUGAUCCAGCCAUGCCGCGUGUGUGAAGAAGGCCCUCGGGUUGUAAAGCACUUUCAGUGAGGAAGAACGCCUGGUGGUUAAUACCCAUCAGGAAAGACAUCACUCACAGAAGAAGCACCGGCUAACUCCGUGCCAGCAGCCGCGGUAAUACGGAGGGUGCGAGCGUUAAUCGGAAUUACUGGGCGUAAAGCGCGCGUAGGUGGCUUGAUAAGCCGGUUGUGAAAGCCCCGGGCUCAACCUGGGAACGGCAUCCGGAACUGUCAAGCUAGAGUGCAGGAGAGGAAGGUAGAAUUCCCGGUGUAGCGGUGAAAUGCGUAGAGAUCGGGAGGAAUACCAGUGGCGAAGGCGGCCUUAUGGACUGACACUGACACUGAGGUGCGAAAGCGUGGGUAGCAAACAGGAUUAGAUACCCUGGUAGUC
rnacentral:rRNA from 1 species